rnacentral:rRNA from 1 species
UCGGGAAUUUUGGGCAAUGGGCGAAAGCCUGACCCAGCAACGCCGCGUGAAGGAUGAAGUAUUUCGGUAUGUAAACUUCGAAAGAAUAGGAAGAAUAAAUGACGGUACUAUUUAUAAGGUCCGGCUAACUACGUGCCAGCAGCCGCGGUAAUACGUAGGACCAAGCGUUGUUCGGAUUUACUGGGCGUAAAGGGCGCGUAGGCGGCUUGACAAGUCACUUGUGAAAUCUCUGGGCUUAACCCAGAACGGCCAAGUGAAACUGUCAUGCUAGAGUGCAGAAGGGGCAAUCGGAAUUCUUGGUGUAGCGGUGAAAUGCGUAGAUAUCAAGAGGAACACCUGAGGUGAAGACGGGUUGCUGGGCUGACACUGACGCUGAGGCGCGAAAGCCAGGGGAGCAAACGGGAUUAGAUACCCAAGUAGUCCCUGAGCGGGCUGGCAAGGCGCAU